rnacentral:rRNA from 1 species
UACAGAGGUCUCAAGCGUUGUUCGGAUUCAUUGGGCGUAAAGGGUGCGUAGGCGGCGCGGUAAGUCGGGUGUGAAAUCUCGGAGCUUAACUCCGAAACUGCAUUCGAUACUGCCGUGCUUGAGGACUGGAGAGGAGACUGGAAUUUACGGUGUAGCGGUGAAAUGCGUAGAUAUCGUAAGGAAGACCAGUGGCGAAGGCGGGUCUCUGGGCAUUAACUGACGCUGAGGAGCGAAAGCGUGGGGAGCAAACAGG